GGCCGGGUGGCGUAAUGGUAACGCGUUGCUCUCCUAUGUAAAAAAUGCCCUUGUUUCCUUGACAGGGUGUUAGAGUAGAAGCAAAGAUUGCGGGUUCGAGUCCCGUCCUGGUCG